rnacentral:lncRNA from 1 species
UAGCAUUUAAUAAUUGUUUAUUCCCAAUAAUCAUGGCUAAAUUUUUCCAUCCGACAAAAAGAAAUGUCCUUGUGUCCGGAUGAUCUUCUGGUUAAGAGAUGGCUGAAGGUUUAAUUCCGGGUCCCAUCCUGCCAGUUUUUCAGACAGGGAUCAGAACCCGGCUGAUUGAACUCUGUCCUUCAGUCCCAUUUGGAAUGUUGUGGUCGGUGAUAGGCAUUUUAAUAUUCCGCCGUUUAGUAACCUUUAGUUGGAAAGUGACCUUAAACAAUAAAAAUGGCCAUCCGAAGUACAACUUUCGAAUCAAUCCGAUCGGUUGCUUGAAAAGUCAAUCGAAAUAUUCCCA